rnacentral:misc_RNA from 1 species
UGGCUUCGAGUAGGAGAAUUUCUUUGGUUUUUACCGUUCUUGCUUAACUGGCUAAAUGGGUAUCUUCAGGAUUAUUGUAUCAGGAUUUUGAAGUUAAGAUUUCAAGUUUUGAAGCUACAUUAAUAUUAGACAUAUUUUUUUGGUUUAUUCUUAUGUUGCCUUAUUUGUUUUUGUUGGUUGUAUUUGGUUCAUUUAUGAUCUUUUCUCCUGGGUUGGACUGGUGGUUGCUAUUCCGGGUGAGAAUGGAGGAUAGGCAACCUAUACCUGUUAGUUAGACUAUGCCUUUCUUUUGAUUGUGUUUCUGGGGGAAUGUGUGAUAUUCUUUUAUAAAUCUAACUGAAUAAAUUAUGAGAUUGAAUCAGAUACACAAAUUUAGCUUGAGAAACAGUAAUUAUGUUGUGAUUGGGGUGGUAAAGUAAUUUGUUUUGAAACCUUGUAAGAUAUGGGUUUGUGUUUUGUGAUUUUUGAACUUCUAUUGCAUAAUGUGAGGGAAUUUGCUAUUAUCUUUAAAACCGCUUGAAAUUUUGAAACAAAAGGUAGGAAACUUCCAGGCAUUUCACCUUAGGUCCUAUGAUGUCAGAAUGAGGUUUGAGGUGACAAAUUUACAACCAUAAGGCUUU